AUGGGGUUGGCUCAGUGGUAGAGUACUUGCCUAGCAUAUGUGAGACACUGGGUUUGAUCCUCAGCACCACAUA
rnacentral:tRNA from 1 species